UACGUAGGGCGCAAGCGUUGUCCGGAAUUAUUGGGCGUAAAGAGCUCGUAGGCGGCCAGUUGCGUCUGCUGUGAAAUCCCGGGGCUCAACCCCGGGCGUGCAGUGGAUACGGGCUGGCUAGAGGCAGGCAGGGGAGAACGGAAUUCCCGGUGUAGCGGUGAAAUGCGCAGAUAUCGGGAGGAACACCUGUGGCGAAAGCGGCUCACUGGACCACAACUGACGCUGAUGCACGAAAGCUAGGGGAGCAAACAGG
rnacentral:rRNA from 1 species